rnacentral:rRNA from 1 species
GGGCCCGCACAAGCGGUGGAGUAUGUGGUUUAAUUCGAUGCAACGCGAAGAACCUUACCAGGGUUUGACAUCCUGCGAAUCUCUUGGAAACAGGAGAGUGCCUUCGGGAACGCAGUGACAGGUGGUGCAUGGCUGUCGUCAGCUCGUGUCGUGAGAUGUUGGGUUAAGUCCCGCAACGAGCGCAACCCACGUCUUUAGUUGCCAGCAUUUAGUUGGGCACUCUAGAGAGACUGCCGGUGAUAAACCGGAGGAAGGUGUGGAUGACGUCAAGUCAUCAUGCCCCUUACAUCCUGGGCUACACACGUACUACAAUGCUACGGACAAAGGGCAGCAAACUCGCGAGAGCUAG